rnacentral:rRNA from 1 species
UACGAAGGGGGCUAGCGUUGUUCGGAAUUACUGGGCGUAAAGCGUGCGCAGGCGGUUCGUGAUGUCUGAUGUGAAAGCCCCGGGCUCAACCUGGGAAUUGCAUUGGAAACUAGCGGGCUGGAGUGUGGCAGAGGGGGGUGGAAUUCCACGUGUAGCAGUGAAAUGCGUAGAGAUGUGGAGGAACACCGAUGGCGAAGGCAGCCCCCUGGGCUAACACUGACGCUCAUGCACGAAAGCGUGGGGAGCAAACAGG